rnacentral:misc_RNA from 1 species
GAUGAAGAACGUAGCGAAAUGUGAUAAGUAGUGUGAAUUGCAGAAUUCAGUGAAUCAUCGAAUCUUUGAACGCACAUUGCGCCCUUUGGUAUUCCUUAGGGCAUGCCUGUUCGAGCGUCAUUUCAACCCUCAAGCCCUGCUUGGUGUUGGGCGUUUGUCCUGCCUCCGCGCGGGACUCGCCUCAAAGACAUUGGCGGCCGGUUUCCCUUUGCAGGCCACGAGCGCAGCACAGCGAGCGCUCUACGUGGACGCGGGGUCGGCGCACCAGAAGCCCUCUUUCUCGAAUUUUGACCUCGGAUCAGGUAGGGAUACCCGCUGAACUUAAGCAUAUCAAUAAGCGGAGGA